CAGCAGCCGCGGGAAUACGUAGGUGGCAAGCGUUGUCCGGAAUUAUUGGGCGUAAAGCGCGCGCAGGUGGUUUAAUAAGUCUGAUGUGAAAGCCCACGGCUCAACCGUGGAGGGUCAUUGGAAACUGUUAAACUUGAGUGCAGGAGAGAAAAGUGGAAUUCCUAGUGUAGCGGUGAAAUGCGUAGAGAUUAGGAGGAACACCAGUGGCGAAGGCGGCUUUUUGGCCUGUAACUGACACUGAGGCGCGAAAGCGUGGGGAGCAAACAGGAUUAGAUACCCCCGUAGUCCCUGUCUCUUAUAC
rnacentral:rRNA from 1 species